CUCCAAGCCACAUCUGCGGAAGUGUGUCGUGUUAAAUUAGUUCCACCGUACAACCAGACUAUAAAAUAAUAAUCGGGCUUGUAGGUGUUGAGUGAAUAAAUAGAAUAUUAUGGAUCGUUUAUACUUUCUUUCUCUUGAAGAUCUGCAACCCACAAACCGGUAAUUUGAUCGGAUUCGAAUUGAAGCUGGAUAUAGGCCACCAGUCGACGCAGCUGUCAAAAAAUGGCUAAGCGAAAUCUAGAUAAUAAUUCCGGUCGAGAGCAAUUGUGCCAACACUGGCUCCUAACACGCAAUUACGGUCUGACAGAUGAAAUAAACUAAUCCAACCAAGGCCUAGGUCCUAUUGUAGCACCAAAAGUACGAAGUUUAGUACCUUUUUAAGUCCAUCAUUUUUCAGUACUUUUUUAGUUAAACAGUUAUGUUUCAGUACUUUUCAACAACAACCGAAAGGAAAUCAAUAUUUAGCAAUAACAAGUUUUGUAAACGACAAAAUUAUCGAAAAGUUGAACUGGUAACGUUACGCCAUCUGUCGUCACUUCGUGAAAUAUGUCGAAAUUUCCGUGAAACCGCAAAAGCAAAGUAGCGGCUUAACCGACUAAUUGGAUAUAAAUUGAACCGAACCACUGCGGAAGCUGGUAAUUCGAAAAAAAAGCGUUACGUCAUUCGCAAUAGACAGAAAGGGUGUUUCGACAUCUAGGGGCAGACAGAUUCACUUUAGAACAUAGUAUUGUAGCUAGUGGAGUUUCAUAGGCACCCGGCUAAAACAAAACCGUUUAUCUCUAAAAGUAACCAAGAAAACAGCCUGCCUUUGUGAAAGAGCUUGAUAUAGCCUAGGUAUCUUAGAAUUUUGAUAUUCAGUUUGGUGGUCUAGCAAAAGGAAACACAACCUAUUUGCAUUUAAUAGAAAGCAGUAUGUCUACAGCCUUGUGUAAGCCAGCAUGCAGUUUAAAACUAGGGGCAUAGAUACAAGCGAUCAGAGAAAGUAGAUUGGUGUUUAUUGGGUAGAACAUGGAAAAACUACUAUUGUAUAAUGUUCAUGCCAACUCUACAUACCUCCUCAAUCGGUAAACCAUAACCUGGUUGAACAUCUGCAUUAUUUGCUCGGACUCCAAGCCUAUAAAAGGCAAAUCUUCACAAGAAAUUAUUUCUGG